rnacentral:rRNA from 1 species
AGUGAACGCUGGCGGUAGGCCUAACACAUGCCAGUCGAACGGCAGCACAGUAAGAGCUUGCUCUUACGGGUGGCGAGUGGCGGACGAGUGAGGAAUACAUCGGAAUCUACUUUUUCGUGGGGGAUGACGUAGGGAAACUUACGCUAAUACCGCAUACGACCUACGGGUGAAAGCAGGGGAUCUUCGGACCUUGCGCGAUUGAAUGAGCCGAUGUCGGAUUAGCUAGUUGGCGGGGUAAAGGCCCACCAAGGCGACGAUCCGUAGCUGGUCUGAGAGGAUGAUCAGCCACACUGGAACUGAGACACGGUCCAGACUCCUACGGGAGGCAGCAGUGGGGAAUAUUGGACAAUGGGCGCAAGCCUGAUCCAGCCAUACCGCGUGGGUGAAGAAGGCCUUCGGGUUGUAAAGCCCUUUUGUUGGGAAAGAAAAGCAGCAGGUUAAUACCCCGCUGUUCUGACGGUACCCAAAGAAUAAGCACCGGCUAACUUCGUG